rnacentral:rRNA from 1 species
GAUGAACGCUGGCGGCGUGCCUAAUACAUGCAAGUCGAGCGAACAGACGAGGAGCUUGCUCCUCUGACGUUAGCGGCGGACGGGUGAGUAACACGUGGAUAACCUACCUAUAAGACUGGGAUAACUUCGGGAAACCGGAGCUAAUACCGGAUAAUAUAUUGAACCGCAUGGUUCAAUAGUGAAAGACGGUUUUGCUGUCACUUAUAGAUGGAUCCGCGCCGCAUUAGCUAGUUGGUAAGGUAACGGCUUACCAAGGCAACGAUGCGUAGCCGACCUGAGAGGGUGGCCGGCCCAACGGGACCGGAGCCACGCCCAAGACCCCGCGGGGAGGCAGCAGUGGGGAUUCUUCGGCAAUGGGAGAAGGCCGGACGGAGCAACGCCGAGGGGUGGAGAAAGGUCUUGGGAUCUAAAACUUUUUUUAUGGGGAAAAAAAAAAUGUGAAAGAACUUAGGCACGUCUGGACGGUACCUAACAAAAAAGCCACGGCUAACUACGGG